UCUUUUUCUUCCCGACAACAUCAAUGAAAGCAUUAAACGAAGUAUGAAGUCUAAAAUGUCAUUAAAUGUGCCAGAUCGUAAAAAUGUGCCUAUAAAACUUCCUUCAUGGUUUACCAGUAAAUAUCAAAGCCUUCGUUGCAGAGUUCUGCUCCUUAGUAUUUAGUGAGUUUCAUAUAUUUCUUCUUAACCUGAUAAGCACCGAAAAGCAAUGGCAUUUUUUAAGAAUGCUUCAUUAUCAAGAUUUUCGUUGGGUUUUUCCAGCAACAUUAACAUGGAGGGUGACACCGAAAUCAUGGCAUUGAUCCAGUUUGCUGGGUUCUCUCUUCUUUUUCUGUUCAAGCUAUUGCUUGAUUACAUCAAACGAAGAAACCGUGCCAGCACUGUGGCUCCAAAUCAUCUUGCUGCUAUCCCUGCGGCCGCUGUGGCUCCAAAUCAUCUUGAUACUAUAUCUGUGGUGGUCGACGUUGACCAGAUGACUUGAUAUGUAUGGUUCGUUUCUCUUCCCUUUCUAGCUUUUUUAUAAAGCAUAUAAUAUUUAUUAUAAUUUAAUCAAAUUAAUUUUAUUUUAUUAUUAAAAAAAAAAUUCAAUGUAUUUAUCUGCAGACCACUCGAGCGGGUGGUACGGUAGCUCCGGUCGGAGGAGUUUGAAGGUCUUUGGAAUAUAGUCGGGUGUUUAUGCUGCUACAUUUUUUUUUUUUUUGCUUUUGGUGGUUCGUAAGUAGGUUUACGUAAGACUUUGUGCUUCGUCCUAUGAUGCAAAAAUGGAUUGAACUUAUUUGAUUGCUUUGGCUUUAAUUAUGAUUUGGGUGUUUCUGGUUUUAAUUGCAUUGUGCUCC
rnacentral:lncRNA from 1 species